CAAGGAGUCUAGCGUGUGCGCGAGUCAUUGGGUUAUAAAACCUAAAGGCGUAAUGAAAGUGUCAGAGUUAGACUUGAGCUUUCUCUGUGGGAGGAUUAAUAUUUUGCCUUUUUUUUUUUAUAAAAAAAAUACUUAUAUUCCGCACUCCCGGGGCGUUUCAUUCUCUUUUAGAGACGAGACGCACCAGGAGCGCACACGCUGGUAUCCGAAAGAUGGUGAACUAUGCCUGGCCAGGACGAAGCCAGGGGAAACCCUGGUGGAGGUCCGAAGCGAUUCUGACGUGCAAAUCGAUCGUCUGAGCUGGGUAUAGGGGCGAAAGACCAAUCGAACCAUCUAGUAGCUGGUUCCCUCUGAAGUUUCCCUCAGGAUAGCUGGCUCUCGGGUGUGAGACGAGUCUCAUCCGGUAGAGCGAAUGAUUAGAGGUGAUGGGGUCGAAACGACUUCAACCUAUUCUCAAACUCCCAAUAGAUGAGAGCCCCGGCUUGCUUGAAAAUGAAGCCGGGGGAUUUUUAGAUCAGAAAAGCCAAGUGGGCCAAUUUUGG
rnacentral:rRNA from 1 species